GGGCAUGUGGUGUAGUUGGUUAUCACGCUCGCUUAGCACCAGUGUUGUUUGCGAGAGGGGUCCGGUUCGAUCCCGGACAUGUCCA